AUGGAAAACCACCUGGGCAGGUUUACAAAGAGAGGAGUGGUCCAAUCUUUCCUCAGCGAAUGAGCUUCAGGAGAACCACUGCUUAUCCAUGUGAGGGAUGAAGAAAUAAUCAGCAGGCCAGCAAUUUGGAAGCUGUUGUUACCAGCCAGAAAAUGAGAGACAAAACCAGGCUAUUAGAAAAGAGAGUUUAAGGAGACAAAACCAGGGAAAUGGAAGACACUCAGCAUAUUUGGGGAACAAUGAGGAGACUGAGCCAAGUGGAGCAGCAUGAAGAGCCAACAUUUUCUUCUCAGCUCAGAUGAAGAAUGUGGGUAAAGGUAAAAAAAAGAAGAAGAAGACAAAAGAAUACAGAGCCUAAUAGGAGAGUGCAGAAGAGUCCACCUGCUGCAAUCCAGACAAGGAUACAGAUGACUGCUCAUCUAUCCAUUUUGCUUUGUCCUCAGUCUGAAUGUCUUCUCUUUCCCUAUGAUUUACUUUCUUCCCUGUUCUGCUGUCUCAUACGCCAGUACAAAAUGGCGCUCUUCCGGGUUCUUCACCACCCAUCUUCCCGCGCCCGGGAAGAUGAUCAACUUACAGCGCAGGCGCCAUCCCGCGCCCGGGAAAAUUACCAGCCGAGGGCGCAGGCGCAACAUGACGUCCGACCGAAGAAACCGAAACCUACCUGGCCACGCCCACCGCAGGGCCACCAUCAUCGCCCUGGCCCAACCUCCGCCCCUGCUGGUCUAUAUAAGGCAUUACGCUGCCACCAAUAA
rnacentral:lncRNA from 1 species